AGCGGCGGACGGGUGAGUAACACGUGGGUAACCUGCCUGUAAGACUGGGAUAACUCCGGGAAACCGGAGCUAAUACCGGAUAGUUCCUUGAACCGCAUGGUUCAAGGAUGAAAGACGGUUUCGGCUGUCACUUACAGAUGGACCCGCGGCGCAUUAGCUAGUUGGUGGGGUAAUGGCUCACCAAGGCGACGAUGCGUAGCCGACCUGAGAGGGUGAUCGGCCACACUGGGACUGAGACACGGCCCAGACUCCUACGGGAGGCAGCAGUAGGGAAUCUUCCGCAAUGGACGAAAGUCUGACGGAGCAACGCCGCGUGAGUGAUGAAGGUUUUCGGAUCGUAAAGCUCUGUUGUUAGGGAAGAACAAGUGCGAGAGUAACUGCUCGCACCUUGACGGUACCUAACCAGAAAGCCACGGCUAACUACGUGCCAGCAGCCGCGGUAAUACGUAGGUGGCAAGCGUUGUCCGGAAUUAUUGGGCGUAAAGGGCUCGCAGGCGGUUUCUUAAGUCUGAUGUGAAAGCCCCCGGCUCAACCGGGGAGGGUCAUUGGAAACUGGGAAACUUGAGUGCAGAAGAGGAGAGUGGAAUUCCACGUGUAGCGGUGAAAUGCGUAGAGAUGUGGAGGAACACCAGUGGCGAAGGCGACUCUCUGGUCUGUAACUGACGCUGAGGAGCGAAAGCGUGGGGAGCGAACAGGAUUAGAUACCCUGGUAGUCCACGCCGUAAACGAUGAGUGCUAAGUGUUAGGGGGUUUCCGCCCCUUAGUGCUGCAGCUAACGCAUUAAGCACUCCGCCUGGGGAGUACGGUCGCAAGACUGAAACUCAAAGGAA
rnacentral:rRNA from 2 species